GUUGGCCUUGGAUCAGGUGGGGAUACCCGCUGAACUUAAGCAUAUCAAUAAGCGGAGGAAAAGAAACCAACAGGGAUUGCCUCAGUAACGGCGAGUGAAGCGGCAACAGCUCAAAUUUGAAAUCUGGCUCACGCCCGAGUUGUAAUUUGUAGAGGAUGUUUCGGGUGAAGCCACGGUCCAAGUCCCUUGGAACAGGACGUCAGAGAGGGUGAGAACCCCGUACCUGGCCGUCGGUGCCCCCCGCUGUGAAACUCCUUCGACGAGUCGAGUUGUUUGGGAAUGCAGCUCUAAAUUGGUGGUAAAUUCCAUCUAAAGCUAAAUACCGGCCAGAGACCGAUAGCGCACAAGUAGAGUGAUCGAAAGAUGAAAAGCACUUUGAAAAGAGAGUUAAAAAGUACGUGAAAUUGUUGAAAGGGAAGCGCUUGCGGCCAGACUUGCCCGCGGUUGCUCAACCCGCCUUUUGGCGGGUGCACUCUUCCGCGGUCAGGCCAGCAUCGGUUUGGGCGGUCGGAUAAAGACGCCGGGAACGUAGCCUCCUCUCGGGGAGGUGUUAUAGCCCGGCGUGCAAUGCGGCCAGCCCGGACCGAGGUUCGCGCUUUGCUAGGAUGCUGGCGUAAUGGCCGUAAGCGGCCCGUCUUGAAACACGGACCAAGGAGUCUAACAUCUAUGCGAGUGUUUGGGUGUCAAACCCGUGCGCGUAAUGAAAGUGAACGGAGGUGGGAACCCGCAAGGGCGCACCAUCGACCGAUCCUGAUGUCUUCGGAAGGAUUUGAGUAAGAGCAUAGCUGUUGGGACCCGAAAGAUGGUGAACUAUGCGUGAAUAGGGUGAAGCCAGAGGAAACUCUGGUGGAGGCUCGCAGCGGUUCUGACGUGCAAAUCGAUCGUCAAAUUUGCGUAUAGGGGCGAAAGACUAAUCGAACCAUUUAGUAGCUGGUUCCUGC
rnacentral:rRNA from 1 species